rnacentral:rRNA from 1 species
CUAUGGCUCAGGAUGAACGCUAGCUACAGGCCUAACACAUGCAAGUCGAGGGGUAGCGUGAGGGAAGCUUGCUUCCCUUGACGACGACCGGCGAAUGGGUGAGUCACGCGUGUCCAACCUGCCCCGUGCCCGGGAGUAGCCCUUGGGAAAUGAGGAUUAAGACCCGAUAUGUGGCGCUUCCGCAUGGCGGCGCCAUGAAGCAGGCACGGGAUGGGACGCGUCGGAUUAGCUUGACGGCGGGGCAACGGCCCACCGUGGCGACGAUCCGCAGGGUUCUGAGAGGAAGGUCCCCCACACUGGCACUGAGACACGGGCCAGACUCCUACGGGAGGCAGCAGUGAGGAAUAUUGGUCAAUGGGCGGGAGCCUGAACCAGCCAAGUAAGCGUGCAGGACGACGGCCCUACGGGUUGUAAACUGCUUUUCCGGGAGGAUAAAGUGAGCCACGCGUGGUUCAUUGCAGGUAUCCCGGGAAUAAGGACCGGCUAAUUCCGUGCCAGCAGCUGC